AUUGAACGCUGGCGGCGUGCUUAACACAUGCAAGUCGUGCGGUAACAGGCGUAGCAAUACGUGCUGACGAGCGGCGAACGGGUGCGUAAUACAUGGGAAUCUGCCUUUUAGUGGGGAAUAACCCGGCGAAAGCCGGGCUAAUGCCGCAUAAGAUCUUCGGAUGAAAGCGGGGGAGUCGUAAGACCUCGCGCUGAUAGAUGAGCCCAUGCCGGAUUAGCAGUUGGUUGAGGUAACGGCUCACCAAGGCGACGAUCCGUAGCUGGUCUGAGAGGACGGCCAGCCACACUGGGACUGAGACACGGCCCAGACUCCUACGGGAGGCAGCAGUGGGGAAGUAUUGGACAAUGGGGAAACCCUGAUCCAGCGACGCCGCGUGUGUGAAGAGGGCCUGCGGG
rnacentral:rRNA from 1 species